UACGAAGGGUGCAAGCGUUACUCGGAAUUACUGGGCGUAAAGCGUGCGUAGGUGGUUUGUUAAGUCUGAUGUGAAAGCCCUGGGCUCAACCUGGGAAUGGCAUUGGAUACUGACAGUCUAGAGUGCGGUAGAGGGUAGCGGAAUUCCCGGUGUAGCAGUGAAAUGCGUAGAUAUCGGGAGGAACAUCCGUGGCGAAGGCGGCUACCUGGACCAGCACUGACACUGAGGCACGAAAGCGUGGGGAGCAAACAGG
rnacentral:rRNA from 1 species